UACGUAGGGCGCAAGCGUUUGUCCGGAAUUAUUGGGCGUAAAGAGCUCGUAGGCGGUUUGUCGCGUCUGCUGUGAAAACCUAAGGCUCAACCUUGGGCUUGCAGUGGGUACGGGCAGACUAGAGUGCGGUAGGGGUGACUGGAAUUCCUGGUGUAGCGGUGGAAUGCGCAGAUAUCAGGAGGAACACCGAUGGCGAAGGCAGGUCACUGGGCCGCAACUGACGCUGAGGAGCGAAAGCAUGGGGAGCGAACAGG
rnacentral:rRNA from 1 species